GAUGAAGAACGCAGCGAAAUGCGAUACGUAAUGUGAAUUGCAGAAUUCAGUGAAUCAUCGAGUCUUUGAACGCACAUUGCGCCCCCUGGUAUUCCGGGGGGCAUGCCUGUCCGAGCGUCAUUGCUGCCCUCAAGCACGGCUUGUGUGUUGGGCCUCCGUCCUCCUCCCGGGGGACGGGCCCGAAAGGCAGCGGCGGCACCGCGUCCGGUCCUCGAGCGUAUGGGGCUUCGUCACCCGCUCUUGUAGGCCCGGCCGGCGCUUGCCGACAUAUCAAUCUUUUUUCCAGGUUACCUCGGAUCAGGUAGGGAUACCCGCUGAACUUAAGCAUAUCAAUAAGCGGAGGA
rnacentral:misc_RNA from 1 species